AGAGUUUGAUUAUGGCUCAGAUUAACGCUGGCGGCAGGCCUAACACAUGCAAGUCGAGCGGUCGCCUCGGUGACGAGCGGCGGACGGGUGAGUAACGCGUGGGAAUCUACCUGGUAGUGGGGGACAACAGUCGGAAACGACUGCUAAUACCGCAUACCCUUCGGGGGAAAGUGGGGUCUUCGGACCUCACGCUAUCAGAUGAGCCCGCGUCGGAUUAGCUUGUUGGUGAGGUAAAGGCUCACCAAGGCGAUGAUCCGUAGCUGGUCUGAGAGGAUGACCAGCCACACUGGGACUGAGACACGGCCCAGACUCCUACGGGAGGCAGCAGUGGGGAAUAUUGCACAAUGGGCGCAAGCCUGAUGCAGCCAUGCCGCGUGUAUGAGGUUCGUUGAGUACUUUCAGCAGUGUUAAUAGAGCUGCAGAAGAAGCACCGGCAACUCCGUGCCAGCAGCCGCGGUAAUACGGAGGGUGCGAGCGUUAAUCGGAAUUACUGGGCGUAAAGCGCAUGCAGGUGGUUUGUUAAGUCAGAUGUGAAAGCCCGGGGCUCAACCUCGGAAUUGCAUUUGAAACUGGCAGGCUAGAGUACUGUAGAGGGGGGUAGAAUUUCAGGUGUAGCGGUGAAAUGCGUAGAGAUCUGAAGGAAUACCGGUGGCGAAGGCGGCCCCCUGGACAAUACUGACACUCAGAUGCGAAAGCGUGGGGAGCAAACAGGAUUAGAUACCCUGGUAGUCCACGCCGUAAACGAUGUCUACUUGGAGGUUGUGGCCUUGAGCCGUGGCUUUCGGAGCUAACGCGUUAAGUAGACCGCCUGGGGAGUACGAUCGCAAGAUUAAAACUCAAAUGAAUUGACGGGGGCCCGCACAAGCGGUGGAGCAUGUGGUUUAAUUCGAUGCAACGCGAAGAACCUUACCUACUCCAUCCAGAGAACUUAGCAGAGAUGCUUUGGUUCGCUCUGGAAGGUGCUGCAUGGCUGUCGUCAGCUCGUGUUGUGAAAUGUUGGGUUAAGUCCCGCAACGAGCGCAACCCUUAUCCUUGUUUGCCAGCGAGUAAUGUCGGGAACUCCAGGGAGACUGCCGGUGAUAAACCGGAGGAAGGUGGGGACGACGUCAAGUCAUCAUGGCCCUUACGAGUAGGGCUACACACGUGCUACAAUGGCGCAUACAGAGGGCGGCCAACUUGCGAAAGUGAGCGAUCCCAAAAAGUGCGUCGUAGUCCGGAUCGGAGUCUGCAACUCGACUCCGUGAAGCUGGAUUCGCUAGUAAUCGCGCAUCAGCACGGCGCGGUGAAUACGUUCCCGGGCCUUGCACACACC
rnacentral:rRNA from 1 species